GAUGAACGCUGGCGGCGUGCCUAAUACAUGCAAGUCGAGCGAAUGGAUUAAGAGCUUGCUCUUAUGAAGUUAGCGGCGGACGGGUGAGUAACACGUGGGUAACCUGCCCAUAAGACUGGGAUAACUCCGGGAAACCGGGGCUAAUACCGGAUAACAUUUUGAACCGCAUGGUUCGAAAUUGAAAGGCGGCUUCGGCUGUCACUUAUGGAUGGACCCGCGUCGCAUUAGCUAGUUGGUGAGGUAACGGCUCACCAAGGCAACGAUGCGUAGCCGACCUGGGAGGGUGAUCGGCCAAAGUGGGACUGAGACAAGGCCCAGACUCCUACGGGAGGCAGCAGUAGGGAAUCUUCCGCAAUGGACGAAAGUCUGACGGAGCAACGCCGCGUGAGUGAUGAAGGCUUUCGGGUCGUAAAACUCUGUUGUUAGGGAAGAACAAGUGCUAGUUGAAUAAGCUGGCACCUUGACGGUACCUAACCAGAAAGCCACGGCUAACUACGUGCCAGCAGCCGCGGUAA
rnacentral:rRNA from 1 species